GGGGACGAAACGGUUUCGACGGAGUGAGGAGAUUUCAAGUUGCAUGUCCGGGGAUUCGGUCCCGGUUAGUAAACGGAAAAACUUUUAUAAGUGCCAACACUAACGUUGAGUACGCUCUAGCUGCUUAAUUUAAGCUAGCUGGAUGUCUAAUGGCGGACGCCCGUGACCGCCGGCGGGCAUAAACUAAAGCGGGCUGGUUAUCUAAGAGGCUAAUCCUCUCUUAGCCAACAAGAUUGAUGGAUUCUCUUUGGGUUUGGUGCCUGUGGCCAAAGCCCUCCCUGAGAGUGUGAUUUGGCCACUACACAUGUAGACGCUUGUUUUUAAGCCAUUUCGGACCCGGGUUCGACUCCCGGCGUCUCCACCA
rnacentral:tmRNA from 1 species